AUCUCCUCCACCCACUGCCCCCUCCCCCACCCUCUUCUCCGCCUCCCCCUCGCUCUCAUAUCCCAGCUCCUCUUCUCUGCCUCCCUCUCUCUCAUCUCCAAAUUGUUUUGGUUUAAUGGAGGACAGAGGAACUAGAUCUGUUUUCUCUCUCCUCCGACACCCACUUCCGGUCACCACCGUGACUCACCUCCACCAUCACAGACCUCACCGACCUCCGACGAGUUUAACGCAGCCUCCUUGACUUCCGGCAACAACCCGUGAAGGACCCUGUGCUUUUUCUCAAACCGACGUCGUCUUACUUGGAAAACGGAGGCAGUACUCCUGGGCUCGAUAUCGAAGUACUCCCUGAAUCAGGGGCCUUUGUGUUAUGCUUCCUCCACUCUCAGAUGCAACACCAGCACCUCAACACACCCGCUCAUUGUUUUUAGGAAGUAUCUUUUGCACAUGUGGUGAAGGAACUAAUGUCCAUAAAUAGCUUCUAGGAUAUUGUAUUUCCUUUUCGAUUUGCAAUUAAGAAACUAUUUGUAUAUGAUGACUCUAUGAAUAUAAGU